UAGCCCCUGAAUCAAGACAGCUGUUGGCUUCAAAUAAGAGCCAAGGGUGAUGUCUUCCUUAUGGUCUGUUGGCUAAUAUCACUAUAUGAAUGGCCAAUUCAGUUGGAAGAAACAUAA
ensembl:snoRNA